AUGGUGGCUUCAGAGAGACUGAGGACAGAAGGAGAUGAGCACAUGGCAACUGUGCUGAGAGGAUUCAUUCAUGAUGAGAAAAGCUUCCAGCAGAAAGGUUUUGAUUCCCAGGUGUGCCUUGCUGUUCCUCAAAGAUGGUUCUGCUCAGAGGUUCCCAGGUCCAUUAGAGGGUAUAUCAACCCCAUUUUCAUCAUCUUGUCUUUAUCUUUCCCUACAGAAACUCCCAAAGCCCCCACUGUGUUCCCAUUGAGUUCUAAUGAUGAAACCCAAGUGACUGGGGAAACUUCCACAGACUCCAAUGUUAGCAUCGGUUGUCUCGUCAAAAGCUACUUUCCUGAACCAGCCACAGUGCAAUGGAAUUCAGGUGCCAUCACUAGUGGAAUCCAACACUUCCCUCCAGUUCAUUCAUCUGGCCAGUAUACUCACACCAGCCUGCUCACCAUCCCCAUCAGCCAGUGGGAAUCUGAGUCAUUCCACUGCAAUGUGGAGCAUGCUGCCACCAACACCAGAAUUAACAAAAGCAUUGAGCGAUGUGAAGCCCAUGAACCGGUAGCUCCUGAAGUCCAUCUGCUCCAUUCUUCUUGCAACCCAAAAGGCAGUGAUGGAAACAUAGCACUGGUGUGCUUCAUUCAGGGUUUCUACCCCAAAGAGAUUAAAGUUGAUUGGCUGGUAGGCAGCCACUCUGGAUUACUGGCUCCCUACACUGAACCUCCCAGGCGUGAUGCAAAUAAGUACACUUUCAGUACCAACAGUGUCGUCAACAUCACCCAAGCAGAUUGGUUGCAAGGAAAUACUUACUACUGCCAGGUAACCCACGAAGCAUCCCAAACAAGGACAAAAAGCAGAGCCAGGAAAUGUGAAGAUGCCACCAGUCAGUUCUCCUCUGGGGUUGCCACCUACCUUCUGCCCCCUCAACCAAAAGAUUUGUACAUCAACAUAAAUGCCAAGAUUGGUUGCGUGGUUGUCAAUCUACAACAGGAAGAGGGGUUGAAAAUAAGCUGGUCACGCGAGAAGGAAGUCGCCGCACAUGCAGAAUUGGUGGCGGUGACCGAGGAAAACAAUGGGACCUUCACUGCUGUCGGCCACCUCCCUGUUUCUGCCCAUGAUUGGGAAUCAGGAGAGACUUUCACCUGUUCGGUGGAAUAUCCAGGUUUGCCUGGUCCCAUCGUGAAGACAAUUUCCAAGAAGAGAGAAAAGAGCAAGGCACCCAUCAUCCAUAUCUACCCUCCCAUCCCUGGCAAUUCGCUUAUCCUCACCUGCUUUGUGCGUGACUUUUAUCCAGAGGAUAUAGAUGUCCAGUGGCUAAAGAAUGGCAAUAGCAUUUCAGAAGAUGACUAUGUCAACACCCCAGCUGUGAAGGAAAAGACAGGCAAUUCCCACUUCAUGUAUAGCAAACUCACAAUCUCUAAAUCAUCUUGGGAAAAUGGGGAAACAUUUAGCUGUAUGGUCAUCCAUGAAGCCCUUGAAAUGAAGUUCACCCAGAAGAGCAUAGAGAAAACUUCAGGUAAACGUUGAAAGCUCAAACAUGCGUUGUCCUCCUAGAUUUGUCUCUCACGGUGUUGGAUCCAAAUCCUUGUAAAUAGUUUACACACUUAUGUAUUUGGCUGCUGGCUAAAUAAAAGCAAACCAACUCACA